UUGAACGCUGGCGGCAGGCUUAACACAUGCAAGUCGAGCGGAGAGAGGUAGCUUGCUACUGAUCUUAGCGGCGGACGGGUGAGUAAUACUUAGGAAUCUGGCUAUUAGUGGGGGACAACAUUUCGAAAGGGAUGCUAAUACCGCAUACGUCCUACGGGAGAAAGCAGGGGAUCUUCGGACCUUGCGCUAAUAGAUGAGCCUAAGUCGGAUUAGCUAGUUGGUGGGGUAAAGGCCUACCAAGGCGACGAUCUGUAGCGGGUCUGAGAGGAUGAUCCGCCACACUGGGACUGCGACACGGCCCAGACUCCUACGGGAGGCAGCAGUGGGGAAUAUUGGACAAUUGGGGGAACCCUGAUCCAGCCAUGCCGCGUGUGUGAAGAAGGCCUUAUGGUUGUAAAGCACUUUAAGCGAGGAGGAGGGUACUGGUAUUAAUACUACCAGGUACUGGACGUUACUCGCAG
rnacentral:rRNA from 1 species